UGGGGAAUUUUGGGCAAUGGGCGCAAGCCUGAUCCAGCCAUGCCGCGUGUCUGAAGAAGGCCUUCGGGUUGUAAAGGACUUUUGUCAGGGAAGAAAAGGCUGUUGCUAAUAUCAGCGGCUGAUGACGGUACCUGAAGAAUAAGCACCGGCUAACUACGUGCCAGCAGCCGCGGUAAUACGUAGGGUGCAAGCGUUAAUCGGAAUUACUGGGCGUAAAGCGAGCGCAGACGGUUACUUAAGCAGGAUGUGAAAUCCCCGGGCUCAACCUGGGAACUGCGUUCUGAACUGGGUGACUAGAGUGUGUCAGAGGGAGGUAGAAUUCCACGUGUAGCAGUGAAAUGCGUAGAGAUGUGGAGGAAUACCGAUGGCGAAGGCAGCCUCCUGGGAUAACACUGACGUUCAUGCUCGAAAGCGUGGGUAGCAAACAGGAUUAGAUACCCUGGUAGUCCACGCCCUAAACGAUGUCAAUUAGCUGUUGGGCAACUUGAUUGUUCAGUAGCGUAGCUAACGCGUGAAAUUGACCGCCUGGGGAGUACGGUCGCAAGAUUA
rnacentral:rRNA from 1 species